UGUCCCUUUGCAUAAUGGUAGUGCACCAGAUUUUGGUUCUGGUUGUGGAGGUUCGAUUCCUCCAGGGACAA
rnacentral:tRNA from 1 species